GACAGCGACUACGGCGUUUCGUUUCCUGAUCUUCCCGGCGUUAUCAGCGCGGGUAGCACCUUGGAUGAAGCGCGCGACAUGGCGACCGAAGCCUUGGCCCUUCACAUCGAGGGGCUGAUUGAGGACGGCGAAGCCAUUCCCGAACCCUCUUCACUUGAAGACGUGAUGGCGAAUGCCGAAAACAGAGAUGGUGUGGCAGUCCUCAUUGCAGCGCCUGCGA
rnacentral:misc_RNA from 1 species